rnacentral:rRNA from 1 species
GACGAACGCUGGCGGCGUGCUUAACACAUGCAAGUCGAACGGUGAACCUCUUCGGAGGGGAUCAGUGGCGAACGGGUGAGUAACACGUGGGCAACCUGCCCCCGGCUCUGGGAUAACUCCAAGAAAUUGGGGCUAAUACCGGAUGUUCACCGCUUCCCGCAUGGGUGGGGGUGGAAAGGGUUUCCGGCUGGGGAUGGGCCCGCGGCCUAUCAGCUUGUUGGUGGGGUAGUGGCCUACCAAGGCGACGACGGGUAGCCGGCCUGAGAGGGUGACCGGCCACACUGGGACUGAGACACGGCCCAGACUCCUACGGGAGGCAGCAGUGGGGAAUAUUGCGCAAUGGGCGGAAGCCUGACGCAGCGACGCCGCGUGGGGGAUGACGGCCUUCGGGUUGUAAACCUCUUUCAGCAGGGACGAAGCGCAAGUGACGGUACCUGCAGAAGAAGCACCGGCCAACUACGUG